GGCGGGUUGCUGAGGGGUGGCUCGCUGCGGCUCUGGGCGAGGGGCUAGGUUUGGGCUGGUGGGAGGCUCUGGGCUUGCUGGGGCUUCUGUGCCUGCCUUGUAGGUUGGCGCCGUGCUGGCCCCUUGGGUGUUGAGAGGGUCUCUGCACUCGCUCUGUCUCUCCCAGCUCUGCUGUGGAUUUCUCUGUUCUAUAUCCCAGCCCCCGGGUUUGGAUGAAGCCUUGGUGCUACACAGUGGUGGUGAAGGAUCUUCUCUAGAAGGCCCAGCAGUUCCACCGAUGGCAAACCCAAGUUAAUGCUCCCUUCUGGUCCCUCGUGGUCCCCAGCAUGCGGUGUUUGCUGGAUCCCAGAGGUGGACCCUGGUAUGUGGAAUAUCAACCUCUGCCCCUGGAGGAGCUGUGGAUGGAGCUGGGAUCUGGAGGAAGGAGAAGGCAAUGGACCACAUGGCUAUUUGGUGUGGGGAGAAGGAUGCAGCAGAGCUUGGAAACUCCUCCAAACCACCUAUCACACCUGAGAAUGUCAAGGGAGUAGAAAACAGGUCUUAUGGGAGGAGGUUUCUCUGCACUUGGAGCAACAUCAUGAGGGUGACCAUCAUCCUGCAUGCUGGGCAAGCUGGUGUCUCUGUAUGGACCCUUAUCCUCAUGGACUUAAGGGUAAUGUGUGCUCACAAUGGGAUUUGCAGGCAGCUUUGUUGCCUUCCUGCCUCAGAGGCAAUGACCAAAGCUCCAAGAUCAGCGUGGGGACACUCAUCAGUACGUGUUGUGGCUUUGUGAAUUUUGCUUCUGUGGCUUGGUUCCAGCAAGGCCACUGACACUGGAGCUGGCUUGUCCAAAAACCCAGCCAGGAGCCAAGACCCUACUUCUCAAACUGGCUCCUGCAUCAGAGGUUAUGUUUCUGUCUUCCUGCACACCAGCUCUUUCACCUCUGCUUGGAAGCUCUGAAAAGCUUCCCGGGAGGUUCUUGGGGCCCCUCUUUUGUUGCCAGCCCUGCCCUCACUUGUUCCUUUUUCCGUACCCUUUUUCAGGCUUCUGUUUAACAUGCACCUCUGCAAAAACCAGAGAAGAGCUUUCUCUUCACCUGACACUGGCUGCUCAUCUUUGCUCGGACUCUUUCCCCCACUGUUGCCUUUUCCUUCCCCAAAUUCCCUCCUUUAAUUUGCUUUUGCUUAUUUUGAAUACAAAGCUCUUCCAUCACAGUGUUUAUAGUUGGCAAAGCCUUGGACCUAUUGCUUAAUUCUCCUUCCUACAUCCCUACUUAACUGCCAGGGCUCCCUGUGCUCUUUCCCUGCUUCCAGAGCACCCAGGAUGGAUCCCAAUGCCUGUCCCCAGCUGUCUGCUGUGUGGUUCCCAUAUCCUGGCAGCCCAGUUCCCAAGCACUGCCCUGUCACGCUCACCAACUCCUCCUCUUUCUCAUCUCUGGAAACCUGCUUUUUUUUCUUUAUUUUUUUUUCCUGGAGCUGGCAGCAGAUGUCUUUGCCUAUCUUUUUAUUAGCUGUCCUUUCUUCUCUUUAGCCCCAGAGCAGCCUUGAGCAUGAUCUGUCUUCCCCAGUGCCCAGCAAGGGGUGGUGAAGGGUGCAGGUAUCCCCUGCUCAGUGCACUGCCACACUCUGGCACUGCUGCUCUCUGGCACCAGCCUCAUCAUCCUGACACCAAGUAAAUGUCAACAGCUUGCCUCGUGUCUGCUUCUCCAUAUCAGAUUUGCUCAUGGCUUCCCCUUGUCUCUCCCCAGAAUAGGCUGUGCUGCUCUAAAGCAUGGCUGCCCAGUUCCCAUCUUUGCAAGGACGUGGUGAGGAAUGAGUGCUGUCUGCAUCCCAGCUCUCUUUCCCUCUGAUUGCUCCUGGUCCAGGGGAGGCAUUUGGUGAACUGAGUCACGGAGCCACAGCCUGUGUCCAGGAAAGUGGAGCGAUGCUGCCGUGUCAGGGAUUUGCGUGACAGUGGGGACUGAGGCCAGCGAAGUGUGAGCAUGCACUGAGCAGUUGACAAGUGGGAUGUGGGCAGCAGAUCCCUGAGACAUGAGGUCGGGCUUGUCCCAGGCCCAUCAGAACAGGAACCGGCCAGGCCAGCCCAAAAUAGACUCCUUGUCAGAGUUUCCACCAGGCCUCAGGGGCUCCUUAUCUCCUCACUGCUGCUCCUGCGCAGGAUGAGCUGUGGACAAGAGGCCUCAAGGAGCAAUGUUGCCCUUUUCACCAGAGCUUCCUGUUGCGUGGGGCCCUCAUCCCAUAAAGUAACGGCCUCUCAUUAGCAGGACUAAUUAGGUGGGAGCAAAACCUGCCUAGGAUUAUGGGAUGGGGGGUGUGUGGGGGGUGAAGGAGGCUGGGUUUCACUGCUGCUUUCAACAGUGCCUAAUUGACAGGGGCAGCCCAAGCACCCCUGAGGUCUGUGGUCCUCCUUCUCUGUAAAAGUGUGUAAGGCUGUUAACACAGUCUGCCACAACAUCCUUUUCUCUGAAUUAGAGAGGGACGGCUUUGAAGGGUGGACUUCUUCAGUAGGUAAGGAAUUGGCCCUGGCAGUGCCCAAGGCCAGGCUGGAAGGGGCUGGGGACAGCCUGGGCUGCUGGAGGGGUCGUGCCCAUAGCAGGUGUGGAGGAGGCAAUCUUUAAUGUCACUUCCAACCCUAGCCAUGCUGUGAUUCUUGCUGGGAAGCAAACCCAGCCACUAUUGCACCUGGGGGGGAGGGCGGCCAUCUCACCACACUCCCCCUGAGCCCCACAGAGCCUGGCCCUGCCCCGGCAUCACCACGCUGUAGCCUGGGGAUCUCUGGCAGUGUGACCUCCUGGUGCUUCCACCAGUGCUCUCUUGGCCCUGCAGGAUUUCCUGACGGCCUUAACAAGCCCCCCGGGGGCAAUUAGUUCUCUGCUUUAUUACAUGCCUGGUUUUUCUCAACAAAGGUGUCGUGUUGGGGCGGUGCUGGCUGUGCAGCCACCUCCCAGGAGAAGGGAGGUGGUGGGGCAGGAGGGACUGUGUGAGCUCUGCACCCACCCUGCUUCCUCCUGCCAUGGUCUUGCAUGAGCUGUGAUGUGCAGUGGUAGGGAUCGGCCCUGCAGCACCCAUCCUGGUGCUCCCCCUGCGAGUCCUGAGCUUGAGGUUGAGCCUGCUUCCCACCCCCAGUAUCCUAAAGUCCUGGAGUAAGAGAUUACAGAGAGGAUCAGAUAUAAACCUUUUCUGCUGCAGUAAAUUGUGGUUUUCAGUGCUGCCAACUCUACCAAAAGGAGAGACAGCAUAGACAGGCAUUUCCUGAGAACUGUAGCAACAUUGCUGACCCCAAUUAUUUCAACGUGAUAAAUCACUGCCUCUCCCCAAUCCGUCAUAAACUGCCUGGUUGUAUUAAAAACCAAGCAGGUUAGAGAGGAAAUAAUGAGCAUCCUUUUUUGUUGACAUUAGUUCUAAGGCUUUUGGGGUGAUAAUUCUGCGGUUCUCUCUAUGACCCCAAGUAUUCGUAAAUGUCACCUAGAGGUGUGGGAUCACUCUGGAAACUGAAGCUUUCAGAUUGACUCUAAAAACCCCAACACCUUUGCACAUUUGUGAGGGCUUUGGUCAACAGCAUGAAUUGCUUGAAGUGGGCUCAAAAUGAGUUGUGAUUUUUAUUUUACAGAAGGGGAAAUUGAGAUGCAGAAGGGUUGUUUUUUACUGUAGGAAGCAAGGAUCCCUGGGGCUCUGUGGGUGCCUGGCCCAUUUGGGCUCCUUGCUUGCUGCCUGUGCUGGAGUGGAUGCCACAGGUUCCCGAUGCAGGUGCUGGAUCUGCAGCAAAGGUAAUCCAUCCUCUGUGCCAGAGAGAACCAAAAGGAGAAGCUGAUGCUGCACAGCUACUUAACUGAGAUUUUUGAAUAAAUAAAGCUUGUUGUUUUGUA